rnacentral:rRNA from 1 species
AUACGUAGGUGGCAAGCGUUAUCCGGAUUUACUGGGUGUAAAGGGCGCGUAGGCGGGGGUGCAAGUCAGAUGUGAAAUCUAUGGGCUUAACUCCUAAACUGCAUUUGAAACUGUAACUCUUGCGUGCUGGAGAGGACGACGGAAUUCUUUGUGAAGCGGUGAAAUGCGUAGAUAUAAGGAAGAACCCCAGUGGCGAAGGCGGUCUACUGGACAGUAACUGACGCUGAGGCGCGAAAGCGUGGGAAGCAAACAGGAGUAGAUACCCUGGUAGUCCACGCUGUAAACGAUGAAUACUAGGUGUGGGGGGACUGACCCCCUCCGUGCCGCAGUUAACACAAUAAGUAUUCCACCUGGGGAGUACGGCCGCAAGGUUGAAACUCAAAUGAAUUGACGGGG